AAGUUAUGCGCCGAAGUCAGCGCUCGAGACGUACAAGUAACGUUAAUGAAUGACAAUGCUUUAUAUCAAGCAGUAAAUUAACCUCACUGUUACCAAGGAGUUGUAGAGUUCUCUUCAUUUAUUUGCAAAAGAGAUAAGGAUAUAAAUGUUACUGGUCUGAUAACGUCCAUAUUUCUCACAGCAGUCACUUGUUUGGAUUGAAUAAAUCAUUUCAAAAUCACACUUCUUCAUGAGAUUCUUCGUUUUCUUUUAAUUAUUAAAGAUUUAACAAAUGAUCCGGUUAACAUAAGGCAAAGCCAGUACAAACAGAAAAAGUCAUUUUAGUGAAGGUUCCUCUUUAAAUCACGAUUUACUGUAACCAGAUUCUUCUAUGUCCAUGUCAUAACCUCCUGAGACCCAGCCCGUUAACUUGUGUCCUCCGUACUGGACAUUUCGUUCACAUGCAUCUCCUUUCAUUCUUUUGAGCUGCUCUAUCAAUCCCCUGCUGUAUUGUAAAGAGGACAUCCUGGGAUUUCCAUUAAUAUAUCAUGUGAUAGGCUGGAAUGUUGGG